AGUGAACGCUGGCGGUAGGCCUAACACAUGCAAGUCGAACGGCAGCACAGUAAGAGCUUGCUCUUACGGGUGGCGAGUGGCGGACGGGUGAGGAAUACAUCGGAAUCUACUUUUUCGAGGGGGAUAACGUAGGGAAACUUACGCUAAUACCGCAUACGACCUACGGGUGAAAGCAGGGGAUCUUCGGACCUUGCGCGAUUGAAUGAGCCGAUGUCGGACUAGCGAGUUGGCGGGGUAAAGGCCCACCAAGGCGACGAUCCGUAGCUGGUCUGAGAGGAUGAUCAGCCACACUGGAACUGAGACACGGUCCAGACUCCUACGGGAGGCAGCAGUGGGGAAUAUUGGACAAUGGGCGCAAGCCUGAUCCAGCCAUACCGCGUGGGUGAAGAAGGCCUUCGGGUUGUAAAGCCCUUUUGUUGGGAAAGAAAAGCAGCAGGUUAAUACCCCGCUGUUCUGACGGUACCCAAAGAAUAAGCACCGGCUAACUUCGUG
rnacentral:rRNA from 1 species